UGGUAGGAUACAGUACAGAAGUUUGGCUAUUACUUGGGUGCAUGCAUUCUUGGCUGCUUGCAUUGGUGAUGGACCAUGGACCUUCAUAGGGGAGUGGCUUGAAGUGGCUUCCAUUAUAUACAGGGUUUACAGUUUGGUUCAAUGGCUCUCAGCACCCCCACUAUACAAAUUGUUCCAGACCCCCUGCAGACCUUCAGGGAGCACUGCAGCAGCUGGGACCACAAUGAGGAAGAUGAGGAUAUCUUUGAGGCGAGAUUGCUGGUGCACAUAGCAAAAAAAAUAAAUAAAUCCCAGAUCGCUUGUGACAUUCAUGGAGCAGCUGCAGAUUGUGGAGCAUUUCUUCUGGGCCUAAGAAACCAGCACUGACUGAUGCGAUCACACAUAAUGCAGAUUUGGGACAAUGAGCAGUGGCUGCAGUACUUUCGGAUGCAAAAGGCCACAUUCCUGGAUCUGUGCCAUGCUCACCCCAGCCCUCCAGUGCAGGGACAGAAUGAGAGCUCAUUGACAGUGGAGAAGUAGUGGUGAUCGUGUUCUGGAAGCGUAAAGCACUGGAUUGCGAUUGGUCAGUGGGAAAUCAUUUUGAAGUUAGAAAAUCCACAAUGGGGGCCAUUGUCAUCCAAGUGUGUAAGGCCAUUGAAUGCUGUGCAGGACUGUAACUCCCAGCAAUAUGCAAGAAAUGGUGGAUGGAUUUGCAAAAAUGGGGUUCCCAUCUGUGGUGGGGGAAUAGACAGAAUACACAUCCCUAUCUUGGUGCCAGCCACCUUGAUACAGAAUACAUUGACAGAAAGGCCUAUUUUUCUAUAGUUCUGCAAGUGCUAUUGUAUCCCUGGAGAUGCUUCACUGAUAUCAAUGAAGGUUGGUAUGGGAAGGUGCAUGAUGCUUACAUCUUUAAGAUCACAGAAUUGUUCAGAAAGCUGCAGGCAGGGACAUUCUUUCCUGGGUGGUUGAUUAACAUUGGUGAUGUGGAAAUGGUGACAGUGGUGCUGGAGGUCCAGCUGACCCCUUGAUCCCCUGAUGCAUGAAGCUGUACAUUGCCCACCUUGAUGGCACCAAGGAAAGAUUCUACUACUGGCUCAGUAGGUGCGGAAUGACGGUUGAAUGAGCUUUGGUAGAUUGUAGGGUCACUCACUGGAUUAGAUCUCAGGGAGAAAAACAUCCCAAUGGUUAUAGCUGCCUGUUGUGUACUGCAUAAUAUAUGUGAGGCAAAGGGGGGAAAGCUACCACCAGGGUGGAGGGGCAAGGUUGACCACCUUUCUGCUAAAUUUGAAUAUCCAAACACCAAGGCUAUUAGAGGAGCCCAACCUGGAGCUCUGUUUGAGGGAAGCUUUAAAAGUUCGUUUUCAGUCAGCCACAGUAGCGUUCUCUCUUGCUGUCUUGAGACUGUGUCUGUCUUGCAUAAUUUAAACCAGGUAUUUUUUGGUUCUUGACUGCUGGUAUCUAUUCUGUUGUGCUUGCUGCAGAUUAUAAAUACUGCUGGGCCUGGGGCUUUGCAUGCCACUAUGAAUUGUGUGAUGCUUGCUGUUCAUGUAUAAACAUGGCUGGGUCCUGGGUGUUUUCCUGGUGGUAUUGCUUUGCGACUGUGGUGCUUGGUGUCUGUUUGAGAAUUGUUUCAUUUCUUGGCUUCUUCUGUGCAUUCUGAUAAGGAUACUUUGAGUCUCCAAAAAUACAACUUUGUUGAGUGCAAAAAUUCAGUGCACAAAAUCAAAAUGAAAACAAACACAUAACUUAAUGGGUUGAAACUUUUUAAAUCUCCAAUUGAAAAGGAAGCAAACAUUUUUGUCCAUUUGUGUAAACAGAAAGGUAGUUCAGUGCAGGUCGCUGUGGCUACACAUACACCAAUAUGGUUUUCACAGGUCAGAGUCUGUGAAAUUGUGGUUUCCCUUGUUAUCCUGUGGCGUGGAGUAGUAGGGGUGAAAAAGAUGCAGUCCAUGCUGCCAUAUGGUAUGUUGGGGGUGUAGGCAGGGCUGGAUUAACUCCCCUUUGGGCCCCGUAUACAAGUCUUUUUUUGCUGGGAGGAAGUUUGG